UACGUAGGAGACGAGCGUUGUCCGGAAUUACUGGGCGUAAGGCGCGUGUAGGCGGAUGGGCAAGUCUGCUGUGAAAGCUCCUGGCUUAACCGGGAGUGGUCGGUGGAAACUGCCAAUCUGGAGGACGGUAGAGGUAGGUAGAAUUCCCGGUGUAGUGGUGAAAUGCGUAGAGAUCGGGAGGAAUACCUGUGGCGAAGGCGGCCUACUGGGCCGGACCUGACGCUGAGACGCGAAGGCGUGGGGAGCGAACGGG
rnacentral:rRNA from 1 species